GUCCUGUGGUUACUGGAUGCUGUAGUGCAAGUACACUUUUUCAGUGGAUGUGAGGAGCCAGAGCAAGCCUGUGAUCUACACAUGGAGCCUAUUCUCUUCCAUAGCAAGCACAGCCUUGUUACUGAUAAUAUG